rnacentral:rRNA from 1 species
AUGGCUAGUCCAGGCACAUUGCUGCUGGCGACGGUGCUCGUCAUCCUAUCAAUUUUCGUAAGCCCCAUCUCCGGCUACUGGAAGCCGAGCCGCACCCGCACCAGGCGCCCUAGCAGCCGCCGGUCCUGGUCCUCCGGCGGCGCGACGUGGUACGGCAGCCCCUACGGCGCCGGCAGCGACGGUGGCGCGUGCGGCUAUCAAAGAGCCGUCGGCCAGCACCCGUUCUCGUCGAUGAUCGCCGCCGGCGGGCCCUCCUUCUUCAAGAGCGGCAAAGGCUGCGGUUCAUGUUAUCAGGUCAAGUGCACCGGUAACAAGGCCUGCUCCGGCCGCCCGGUGACCGUCGUCAUCGCCGACAACUGCCCCGACGGUAUAUGCGCCUCGGAGGAUCAUUUCGACAUGAGCGGCACCGCCUUCGGCGCCAUGGCCAACCGAGGGAUGGCCGACCGCCUCCGCUCCGCUGGACAGCUCAAGAUCCACUACGCGAGGGUGCCCUGCAACUACAACGGCAUGAACAUUGUCUUCAAGGUGGACGCGGGCUCCAACCCCUUCUACCUCUCCGUGCUGAUCAUGUACCAGGCCGGCGACGGAGACCUCUCUGCCGUCGACAUCAUGCAGGGCGGCUGCGCGCCCGGCCACCACAACGACCACGGCGCGCCGUGGAUGGCGAUGACGCAGUCGUGGGGCGCGCUGUGGCUCCUCCAGUCGAACAACGGGAAGCCUCUCCAAGCCCCGUUCUCGUUCCGGCUCACCUCGGGUUCCGGCAAGGUCCUCGAGGUCACCAACGCCAUCCCUUCCGGCUGGUCGGCCGGCACGUCCUACAGCUCCUCGGCGAACUACGCCAGUUAG